GUGCUAAUCUUAUUUCAUAUCAUUUUGAAAUUAGUGAGUGUAGUGUUAGAUGGUAGGGUAUUUAUUUAGUACAUUUUUAUUUUACAACCAAAGUACAAGGGAGUUUUACUCCAGUCUAGUAGGUGGCGGUAAUGCAACAAAUUGGAUGCCAACCGCCGUUAAACCUCAUAGAAGAAGAAGGUUUGAGUUUGUUGUGAUGGACUACUUUCUGAAGGAUGAUGCUGAGUCUCUCUGACUGAAAAUGAAUCUGUCUGCAGUGAAACUUUCAUCCAUGUAAACAGAUGUUGAAUUGUGCAAAACCAGAUGGAAUUCCUUCCGUGACAAUUUUGUAAGGCAUCUACAGAAGACCCAACCCAGCAUUUCUGGGGGAACAUAUUAUUGUUCCUGAUACCUUACAUCCAGCCAAGAAGCUCAAAAGGCAUCCUCAGUCUUGAAAAUGCUGAUUCACAACCUGUGGAGCCUGAUGGCACUGAGGAUGAUGUGGGGUCCCUGAGCCAUGCCCUGUGCUUCAGACGCCUGAACAGCAGUCAAGACCAACCAAUACAGACACAGCUCAAGACUGGCAGCCAAGUAAAAGAUAAGGUCAACCAUCAAGAUGUGGAUUAAAACCUGCUUGCGUUUGAGGAUGAGGUUGAGGCGUUUGUGCACAGCCUUGUGCCACAGCUAAAGAAAAUAGGAGAAACAGGUGAAGUCUGAAAGUGCAACUACUAUCAUUGAUUGUAAACUGGGAUGACCAGCAGGCAACACCUCUGUCACCACCACAAUGGCUCUUCAGUGCGCCACAUGGAAGACAUGGACUACAGCCUAUGAUGUAUGGCCAGCCGAGGCAUCAAUACUCCUACUCACCAGGACCUACAGUUGAAGUCGGAAGUUUACAUAGACUUAGGUUGGAGUCAUUAAAACUUGUUUUUCAAGCACUCCUCAAAUUUCUUGUUAACAAACUAUAGUUUUGG